rnacentral:rRNA from 1 species
GGUGAGUAAUGUCUGGGAAACUGCCUGAUGGAGGGGGAUAACUACUGGAAACGGUAGCUAAUACCGCAUAACGUCGCAAGACCAAAGAGGGGGACCUUCGGGCCUCUUGCCAUCAGAUGUGCCCAGAUGGGAUUAGCUAGUAGGUGGGGUAACGGCUCACCUAGGCGACGAUCCCUAGCUGGUCUGAGAGGAUGACCAGCCACACUGGAACUGAGACACGGUCCAGACUCCUACGGGAGGCAGCAGUGGGGAAUAUUGCACAAUGGGCGCAAGCCUGAUGCAGCCAUGCCGCGUGUAUGAAGAAGGCCUUCGGGUUGUAAAGUACUUUCAGCGGGGAGGAAGGCGGUGAGGUUAAUAACCUCAUCAAUUGACGUUACCCGCAGAAGAAGCACCGGCUAACUCCGUGCCAGCAGCCGCGGUAAUACGGAGGGUGCAAGCGUUAAUCGGAAUUACUGGGCGUAAAGCGCACGCAGGCGGUCUGUCAAGUCGGAUGUGAAAUCCCCGGGCUCAACCUGGGAACUGCAUUCGAAACUGGCAGGCUAGAGUCUUGUAGAGGGGGGUAGAAUUCCAGGUGUAGCGGUGAAAUGCGUAGAGAUCUGGAGGAAUACCGG